rnacentral:tRNA from 1 species
AUAAGUAAUUUACUUUUAUUAGAAAA